UCUACCUUAAUCCCUUUUUCAAAUAAGAUUUUAUUAUACAGGCUUCCUUGGAGGAAAGCCAUGUCCCAUCUUUUAUCUGUGAAUGCGGGAUGAAAAAGUACAUGUACCUGGCAUUUACCCCCAGGUCACCCCACAGUAACCUGUCCACAGAAAACCCCACUGAAAGCAACUGUCACUUCAAAUAAAUAGAUUAUCCAGAGUUUCCUGAGUUUAUAGCAGCCUCUCCCCCCCAAAAAGAGGAACUCCUAUAAUAAUUUUUUAAAAACCAAACAUUGUGUGGCUAGUUCAGACAUGACCAAGGGAACCAAACCUGGGAUAAGGUGUUCCCACUUAGAACAAGACACCCAGUGAGCAAGAAGGGUGUUAUUCAUUAGCAGGAUUCCAGAAGAAAGUUCUUAUACUAAAAGGGGAGAUGAGUCCUCAUGGGAAUUCAAAGUCGCAAACUUGUUUUAUGAUGGAUUCCCCUCCUGGGAAUUAGCAAAUAGUGGGCUUUCUGAAGUUGCUAGUUCCUCCAUUGUUUUUCCUGCAUCAGCCACUAUCAUGACUUCCAUGCCAUUCUUGCACUUUCUAUAGAUUCAUAUUCUUUUGAGGGAAGCACAUUAUAUUUGAUGUACUGGUAUAUUGACAUGACAUGUCAAGGUAAACAGAAAAGUUUCUACCUUUUGAUCCAUUUAAAUCCCAAAGUAACAGCCUCUGUAUUAAGCAUAAAUGCUUCCCUACCUCCCAUCUCCCACCCCCAGAAAAAAAUAUGUACAGAUACACAAAGAACGCUUACUGUACCUAUGAUUCAGGUUUUUUAUCACUUUAUAUGUGGAUUUGCCAUAAAGUUGUGGCAGAGACUCCUAACUGUGCCCCAGUAUCUAGUCUCUCUUUCCUUUUUAGUAAUGGAAUCCUCUCCCUUAGUUGUAGCAGAGAACAUGGUGCCAGGUAGGGACUACAUUUGCCAGUCUACCCUUCCGCAAGCCAUGGUUCUAUAAGUUUGUUCUAGCCCCUGGGAUAAAAGCAAAAGUGAUGAGCAAUUUCCAAGACAUCUUUUUUAAAGGAAGUUGUUUCCCCUCUCUCUCUCUCUCUCACACACACACACACACACACACACCCUUACUGGAACAGUCUGUUGGACCCAUUGAUGGAAUCCACAAGAGAAAGAUGAGGGGAAUUGACCCCUCAGCCUGGGUCUUGACUCAAUAACCAGUGCUGCCUUUUUGCCUUGGAUUUCCCCACCUAACUCCAGACUGUUAUGUGAAAAAUAAAUUUUUAUCAUAUUUAAGCCACUUUAUCUUGAGAUCUCUUUGUUAUAUAGUACCUUAGCUAUUACCCCAGCUAAUACACUAAUCUUGGUAGACUCUUUGUCUAAUGUCUUCUUUCCAGUUGAGUUACCUCAAUUUAAUCCGACCAACAUUUUGUGAGAGCCUUCUAUAUGGUGAGGCAGUGUUUUUCAAAGUAUGGUUCCCAAACCAGGGGUAUCCAUCCUCACCUGAGAACUUGUUAGAUAUGCAAAUCCACAAACUCUACCCUAGAUUUACUGAAUGAGAAACUCUGGGGUAGGACUCAGCAAUUGGUUUUAACAAGCCCUUCAGGUGAUCUGGAUGCGCAUUACUGUUUGAGAACCACUGUACUGGGGGAUUUAAAAAAAAAAAAAGGAAUAAAAACUGGGCUCUGUCAAGAAAUUUACAUUUGUGAGGAAAAAGUGCAAAUUGAUAAUCAGUCAUAAAAACACAUUGUUGCUUUGCUAUUUUCCUGUCUGCUCCUCUUUUUCAUCAGAUUAACUCAAGAUAAUUUAGCUCAGAUUGUUUUCAUUUACAUAUGUGAUUGUUUAUAGACAGCCUAAAAAUAUAGGUCAUGUGGGCCUAUGCAAAUCCUAAAGGGGGAAAUAACUAAAGUUGCUUUCGUAAUAGGCUACACAGAGAUUUGAUUGUCAAUAUUAGAAUUGAUGAGGAUCUCCUAAAGCCAAGAAAGACAAAUGAGAAGAGGGAGUUAUUUUACAGUGUGGGUAGUAAAAGUAUAGUACUUAUUACCCUAUAAAGGAUUAUAUGGUCUAAAAAUAAAAAGAGUUGAGCAUGGAUUAAAUUCACAGGUGAGAAAGUCAUAAAGUUCUAUUAAGCACAAGUUAGAAAUGUUCAAAUUAUUUGGAAAGUAUCUGACAUUGUAUCAUAAAGGAAAGUACUAUCUUUGCUCUCGUCACCCUUAUAAUCUUCAGUGUUCAGAAUUCUAGGCUAGCCUGGACUAGACCAAUGUGGUAUUGGUGAUGGGCUAGAAAGGAGAAUGCCUGAGAAUAAAGACUCUUGUAGUGUGUUUUGUAUAAAAUCUGUAAACCUUCCGAUUUAAUGGGUGAUAAAGGUAGAGGAAAUAAAGGAGACAAUGGAUGCAACUCAUAGAAGAAUUUGGUGUCAUUUCAGAUUAAAACUAGUUUGCCAAUAUUCCUGUUAACAAGAGAAGAGACAAUCCGAAUCAUUGAAAUCUGUGGAUAAUCCAAAAGCUACAUAAAAUAUUACUAAACACAGCAAACUGGUCUUAUGUCUUUGGCAUAGGAGCUAAGCACGUUAGAUAGUGCUUGCUAAUGUAUAAAAUAUAUUAGUACAUCCCCAAACUGCCAAACUUAGAAAUGCUACACUCUUUGUGAUAGUGAAGAGGUAGCAAUUAGUGUUGCUCAAAGUUCUGUGAAUCCUUAGAAGAAAAGGUUUAAUUUUUCCACCCACUAUUAGGAACAAAGUCAUUUGCUGCUAGAAAUCACUUUAGUCCUGGCUUAUAUGUUUUUAAAAUCUUGCAGUGUCUUGAAACUACCAUCCAGUUUGGAAAGAUAUAACCAACUUAUUUCCUUCUUUCCUUCCUUUUCCCUUUAAGGACAUUUCAAUCCAACCUCUUCCCCAAAAUACUGUCACUCAGGAUUUCUAUUCCAAAUAAUUUGGAAUCAAAAGCAUUCAGCAGUCUGGAGGCAAAUGAGCUUUUUAUUGUAAUUUUAUUGGGAGCAAAUUGAACUGUGUGGCCAGGCUAGAGAGGGACUUUCUGUGAGGCUCCAGCACACCCCACCAUUGCACCCCAGCAAGGAUUCAUGUUACAAGAAUUACAUCAUUGUGAUUUGCUUAUGUUGUCUGACCAGGCCUAACAGGCCCCUGGGUGUUGCAGGCAGGUUAACUCCUGUCAAUCUUCAUGAACCUUCCAUAAGAGAGCUUACGUGGCCCCCAGAAGUCUCUGUCUUUCUUCUUGUGACUUUCUAAUCUUUUACUAAUUUGACACAUGAAGAAAUAUUUGGCAAACUAUAACAAUGUUGCAUCUUCAUGAACCUGUAUGAUGCAUAAGAAUUGUUAUCCUCGGGCAGCUUGGGUGGCUCGGUGGUAUAGCGUUACCUUCAGCCCAGGGCCUGAUCCUGGAGACCCAGGAUCGAGUCCCACAUCAGGCUCCAUGCAUGGAGCCUGCUUCUCUCUGCCUGUGUCUCUGCCUCUCUCUCUGUGUCUCUCAUGAA
rnacentral:lncRNA from 1 species